CUACGGGGGGUGCAAGCGUUAUUCGGAUUUAUUGGGCGUAAAGAGCGCGUAGGCGGCUUGGUAAGUCAGAUGUGAAAGCCCGGGGCUCAACCCCGGAAGUGCAUUUGAAACUAUCAGGCUUGAGUAUGGGAGAGGGAAGUGGAAUUCCUGGUGUAGAGGUGAAAUUCGUAGAUAUCAGGAGGAACACCGGUGGCGAAGGCGACUUCCUGGACCAAUACUGACGCUGAGGCGCGAAGGCGUGGGGAGCAAACAGGAUUAGAAACCCGUGUAGUCC
rnacentral:rRNA from 1 species